rnacentral:rRNA from 1 species
UACGAAGGGUGCAAACGUUGCUCGGAAUUAUUGGGCGUAAAGAGCUCGUAGGCGGUGUGUCACGUCGUUCGUGAAAACCUGCAGCUUAACUGUGGGCGUGCGGUCGAUACGGGCAGACUAGAGUACUGCAGGGGAGACUGGAAUUCCUGGUGUAGCGGUGGAAUGCGCAGAUAUCAGGAGGAACACCGGUGGCGAAGGCGGGUCUCUGGGCAGUAACUGACGCUGAGAAGCGAAAGCGUGGGGAGCAAACAGG